rnacentral:rRNA from 1 species
AGCGAACGCUGGCGGCAGGCCUAACACAUGCAAGUCGAACGAACUCUUCGGAGUUAGUGGCGGACGGGUGAGUAACACGUGGGAACGUGCCUUUUGGUUCGGAAUAACUCAGGGAAACUUGUGCUAAUACCGAAUGUGCCCUUCGGGGGAAAGAUUUAUCGCCAUUAGAGCGGCCCGCGUCUGAUUAGCUAGUUGGUGAGGUAACGGCUCACCAAGGCGACGAUCAGUAGCUGGUCUGAGAGGAUGACCAGCCACACUGGGACUGAGACACGGCCCAGACUCCUACGGGAGGCAGCAGUGGGGAAUCUUGCGCAAUGGGCGAAAGCCUGACGCAGCCAUGCCGCGUGAAUGAUGAAGGUCUUAGGAUUGUAAAAUUCUUUCACAGGGGACGAUAAUGACGGUACCCGGCGAAGAAGCCCCGGCUAACUUCGUG